rnacentral:rRNA from 1 species
UACGUAGGGGGCAAGCGUUGUCCGGAUUCAUUGGGCGUAAAGCGCGUGUAGGCGGUUCGGUAAGUCCGCUGUGAAAGUCGGGGGCUCAACCCUCGGAUGCCGGUGGAUACUGUCGGACUAGAGUACGGAAGAGGCGAGUGGAAUUCCUGGUGUAGCGGUGAAAUGCGCAGAUAUCAGGAGGAACACCGAUUGCGAAGGCAGCUCGCUGGGACGGUACUGACGCUGAGACGCGAAAGCGUGGGGAGCGAACAGG